GUUGGGAUUGCUUCCUGACGUAUUUCAUCUCACAAUACUGUCCUAGUAGCUACAUAUUCCAUUGAAAUACACAGUUCGCCUCGCCCGAUCACACUUUUCGUAACGCUCUUGUCACGCAUCCAUCAGCUUACACCCCAAGUCAAUCGUGCUUUAAGAAGUUUUACUUCAAAAAUAAUCAAUAUAAGGUAAAAUAUCGUUUUAUAAAACUAUUUUUAAUUUAUUAAAAUAAGCGUACAACACAAAAGCCGAAAAAC
rnacentral:misc_RNA from 1 species